CAGGUGCUGCAUGGCCGUCGUCAGCUCGUGCCGUGAGGUGUUGGGUUAAGUCCCGCAACGAGCGCAACCCCCGCCGUUAGUUGCCAGCGGUCGGCCGGGCACUCUAACGGGACUGCCCGCGAAAGCGGGAGGAAGGAGGGGACGACGUCUGGUCAGCAUGGCCCUUACGGCCUGGGCGACACACGUGCUACAAUGCCCACUACAAAGCGAUGCCACCCGGCAACGGGAGCUAAUCGCAAAAAGGUGGGCCCAGUUCGGAUUGGGGUCUGCAACCCGACCCCAUGAAGCCGGAAUCGCUAGUAAUCGCGGAUCAGCCAUGCCGCGGUGAAUACGUUCCCGGGCCUU
rnacentral:rRNA from 1 species